rnacentral:rRNA from 1 species
CACGUAGGGCGCGAGCGUUGUCCGGAAUUAUUGGGCGUAAAGAGCUCGUAGGCGGCCUGUUGCGUCCGCUGUGAAAGCCCGGGGCUUAACCCCGGGUCGGCAGUGGAUACGGGCAGGCUAGAGGUAGGUAGGGGAGAAUGGAAUUCCUGGUGUAGCGGUGGAAUGCGCAGAUAUCAGGAAGAACACCCGUGGCGAAGGCGGCUCUCUGGAACGCAACUGACGCUGAGACGCGAAAGCGUGGGGAGCAAACAGG